rnacentral:rRNA from 1 species
AUUCCAGCUCCAAUAGCGUAUAUUAAAGUUGUUGCAGUUAAAAAGCUCGUAGUUGGAUUUCUGACUUCAAACACCUGACCCUCCCUCGCUAGAGGUGUGUGUGCCGGAGUGUUUGUAUCAUCCUUUCAGUGAUCGGUUCUACCCUUAACCGGGUCGGAACUGUUAACUGGAUCUUUUACUUUGAAGAAAUUGGAGUGUUUAAAGCAGGCUUACGCCAGAACAUAUUAGCAUGGAAUAAUAAUUUAGGACUUUUGUUCUAUUUUGUUGGUUUCUAGGACGAAAGUAAUGAUUGAUAGGGAUAGUUGGGGGUGCUAGUAUUCGGCGGCCAGAGGUGAAAUUCUUUGAUCCGCUGAAGACUAACUUAUGCGAAAGCAUUCACCAAGGAUGUCUUCAUCG